CCCGCCGGUAGCCAUCUUCGUGCAUAGGCAAACUUAUUGUAGCUAGACUGUACAAAGUAUAUCAAGAUAUGCCAAAUAUUGAGCUUAACUUCACCUGUUUGAGAGACGUGUUGUGAACCACUUGUCAUGGGAUAACCAAAAUUAAACCUGGAAUCGCAGAAGAAACAAAUUUUUUGAAGAAAUUGGAUGUACUUUUUUAAAAUUUUUCAUUCAACUAAAACUUUGUUAACUGUUUCUUGGUUGUGGUCUUCUCUAAAUUGUAAUCUUUGGCAUUCACUUCCAAAGUAUCCACCACUAAACUUCAUAACAUUUAUUGUGUCUCUUCAUCAUUAAACUUUGAUGAAUUUACAGAGUGUCUUUUGAAAUUAUGUUCUUGAGAAAGCCAGGGGAUUGGACGGUGUCAUGGAAAUGUCAAAGAAAAAGUGACACCUGAGAGAAAAUUUGAAAGAUGAAAGCAGAUGCACUAAAGAGGCCAAUCAGUCAUCCAGACAAGAAUUUACCUCAUGAGAGUCAACUGUGCGCAUCUCUUCCCAACAUUGUGAUUGGUUAUGUCAUGUUGAUAGCUUGAAAUUGGACAUAGUAUGUACAUUUACACCCCAGAAAUCUCAGGUACUACAAACUAAACCUUCCCUUCUCUCAUUCCCCAGUGCUGUUAAUACGGAAACUGGUCUAAUAUGGAAAACAGGUGAACAUGGAGCUGCUUUGUUUGACUCAGGGAUGAGAGAUACCCAGGUCCUAAUUACUUGUCUUUAACUUUCCUUAGGGAGUACUAAUUUGGGAGUCAUUGUUCUAAACAAUUAAAGUGAAGUAACUGUCCUGUUUUUCUCUUUUACCCUUGUGAACGAGGAAGCUCAGGGUUAAAGUCUAUGUCUUUACUUAUACAUUUCUGUGUUGUAGGAUCUUUUAAUAAAGAUUUUCUCCUUUUA
rnacentral:lncRNA from 1 species